AAUCCUACUUGGAUAACUGUGGUAAUUCUAGAGCUAAUACAUGCAUUAAAGCUCUGACCUCACGGGAAGAGUGCAUUUAUUAGAACAAAACCAAGCGGCUUCGGCUGUUUCUGGUUGACUCAUAGUAACUGAGCUGAUCGCAUGGUCUUGCACCGGCGACGUGUCUUUCAAGUAUCUGCCGUAUCAACUUUCGAUGGUAGUGUAUCUGACUACCAUGGUGAUCACGCGUAACGGAGAAUAAGGGUUCGGCUCCGGAGAGUUCGCCUGAGAAAUCGCGAACACAUCUAAGGAAGGCAGCAGGCGCGAAAAUUACCCACUCUCAGCACGAGGAGGUAGUGACGAAAAAUAACGAGACCGUUCUCUUAUGAGGCCGGUCAUCGGAAUGGGUACAAUUUAAACCCUUUAACGAGUAUCUAUGAGAGGGCAAGUCUGGUGCCAGCAGCCGCGGUAAUUCCAGCUCUCAAAGUGCAUAGAAUUAUUGCUGCGGUUAAAAAGCUCGUAGUUGGAUCUGUGCCAUAGGACGUGGUCCACCUUCGGGUGCGUACUACGCUCCUAGGCUUUUUGCUGGUUUUCCCGUCGUAGCCUUCACUGGUUGCGGCGGGUGGCUGGCGAGUUUACUUUGAGAAAAUCAGAGUGCUCAAUACAGGCGUAUCGCUUGAAUGAUUGUGCAUGGAAUAAUAGAAAAGGAUUUCGGUCCUCUUUUAUUGGUUUUGUGGACUGAGAUAAUGGUUAACAGGGACAAACGGGGGCAUUCGUAUCUCUGCGUGAGAGGUGAAAUUCUUGGACCGUAGAGAGACGCCCUACUGCGAAAGCAUU
rnacentral:rRNA from 1 species